GUAAUGUCUGGGAAACUGCCUGAUGGAGGGGGAUAACUACUGGAAACGGUGGCUAAUACCGCAUAACGUCGCAAGACCAAAGAGGGGGACCUUCGGGCCUCUUGCCAUCAGAUGUGCCCAGAUGGGAUUAGCUAGUUGGUGAGGUAACGGCUCACCAAGGCGACGAUCCCUAGCUGGUCUGAGAGGAUGACCAGCCACACUGGAACUGAGACACGGUCCAGACUCCUACGGGAGGCAGCAGUGGGGAAUAUUGCACAAUGGGCGCAAGCCUGAUGCAGCCAUGCCGCGUGUAUGAAGAAGGCCUUCGGGUUGUAAAGUACUUUCAGCGGGGAGGAAGGUGUUGUGGUUAAUAACCGCAGCAAUUGACGUUACCCGCAGAAGAAGCACCGGCUAACUCCGUGCCAGCAGCCGCGGUAAUACGGAGGGUGCAAGCGUUAAUCGGAAUUACUGGGCGUAAAGCGCACGCAGGCGGUCUGUCAAGUCGGAUGUGAAAUCCCCGGGCUCAACCUGGGAACUGCAUUCGAAACUGGCAGGCUUGAGUCUUGUAGAGGGGGGUAGAAUUCCAGGUGUAGCGGUGAAAUGCGUAGAGAUCUGGAGGAAUACCGGUGGCGAAGGCGGCCCCCUGGACAAAGACUGACGCUCAGGUGCGAAAGCGUGGGGAGCAAACAGGAUUAGAUACCCUGGUAGUCCACGCCGUAAACGAUGUCUACUUGGAGGUUGUGCCCUUGAGGCGUGGCUUCCGGAGCUAACGCGUUAAGUAGACCGCCUGGGGAGUACGGCCGCAAGGUUAAAACUCAAAUGAAUUGACGGGGGCCCGCACAAGCGGUGGAGCAUGUGGUUUAAUUCGAUGCAACGCGAAGAACCUUACCUGGUCUUGACAUCCACAGAACUUUCCAGAGAUGGAUUGGUGCCUUCGGGAACUGUGAGACAGGUGCUGCAUGGCUGUCGUCAGCUCGUGUUGUGAAAUGUUGGGUUAAGUCCCGCAACGAGCGCAAC
rnacentral:rRNA from 1 species